AGUCGACGACGACACACACCACAUGCAGCAACUUCGCGAAUCUUUUGACUGCCCCACAAGACAUUCGCCAAGGGCCUGAAAUGAAAUUCUACAUGGCUGUGAUGAUUUUCAAUCAUCCCCUUUUCGACGCACUCGAAUGGGAUGACUGGUGCGAUUUGGCCACAUGAGUGGAAGUCCAAUCUCCCUUGGUUUAUCCGGUGGUCUCCAAGGCUUGGCUUCUGCUGGUGGAGAAACACAACCCAUAGCCCUAUUGGGGAUGGGACUGUGAUGGACUGUGGACAAGGAAACAAGGAAAUUGUGUUGAGAUGCCCCCCGAUGCCCUCUCCAGGCCAUGUCUUGUCAGUGCAUGGCUAGGCGUGCUAAGGUAAAUUACUUGAUUGUGUCCAAGUCAAAGUGGUAUCUCCCUGCCUUUUCUUUAGUUUUUGGGCUAUUGUCUCGCCUCUGUGGAGAAAGGAAUUGCCUUUCUCUAGUCUUAUUCUCAACACUGGUAAUGUUGCCUUCUGCCCUCCUUCCAUUGAUCUAGGGAUGCACCGAUACCACUUUUUUGAAAACCGAUACAAGUACGAGUACAUUAAUAUGUGUGCUUACCGAUACCGAGUACCGAUACCUUUUACCACCAAAAUACAAUGAAAAUAAAUGCAUGGCCUUGUUUUUUUCCA